rnacentral:rRNA from 1 species
CCUACGGGAGGCAGCAGUGGGGGAUAUUGCACAAUGGGGGGAACCCUGAUGCAGCGACGCCGCGUGGGUGAAGAAGCGCCUCGGCGCGUAAAGCCCUGUCAGCAGGGAAGAAAAUGACGGUACCUGAAGAAGAAGCCCCGGCUAACUACGUGCCAGCAGCCGCGGUAAUACGUAGGGGGCAAGCGUUAUCCGGAUUUACUGGGUGUAACGGGGGCGCAGACGGCGAUGCAAGCCAGGAGUGAAAGCCCGGGGCCCAACCCCGGGACUGCUCUUGAAACUGCGUGGCUGGAGUGCAGGAGGGGCAGGCGGAAUUCCUGGUGUAGCGGUGAAAUGCGUAGAUAUCAGGAGGAACACCGGUGGCGAAGGCGGCCUGCUGGACUGCAACUGACGUUGAGGCCCGAAAGCGUGGGGAGCAAACAGGAUUAGAUACCCUGGUAGUC